GAUGAACGCUGGCGGCGUGCCUAAUACAUGCAAGUCGAGCGAACAGACGAGGAGCUUGCUCCUCUGACGUUAGCGGCGGACGGGUGAGUAACACGUGGAUAACCUACCUAUAAGACUGGGAUAACUUCGGGAAACCGGAGCUAAUACCGGAUAAUAUGUUGAAUCGCAUGGUUCAACAGUGAAAGACGGUCUUGCUGUCACUUAUAGAUGGAUCCGCGCCGCAUUAGCUAGUUGGUAAGGUAACGGCUUACCAAGGCAACGAUGCGUAGCCGACCUGAGAGGGUGAUCGGCCACACUGGAACUGAGACACGGUCCAGACUCCUACGGGAGGCAGCAGUAGGGAAUCUUCCGCAAUGGGCGAAAGCCUGACGGAGCAACGCCGCGUGAGUGAAGAAGGUCUUCGGAUCGUAAAACUCUGUUAUUAAGGAAGAACAAAUGUGUAAGUAACUAUGCACGUCUUGACGGUACCUAAUCAGAAAGCCACGGCUAACUACGUG
rnacentral:rRNA from 1 species